rfam:Gossypium hirsutum cultivar TM-1 chromosome 9, whole genome shotgun sequence
UAUUAAAAUUUUCAUCCAUUUGUAUUGUAAAAAACUUACAUGGCUAACAGAAUAAUCAGACAAUGAUUUGUGGCAUGCCACGUGUACAUCAUGCUGACAUACAUGAACUAGUUUUUAAUAGUAGAAAUGGAUAAAAUUUUUAACA